rnacentral:rRNA from 1 species
UUGAACUGAAGAGUUUGAUCCUGGCUCAGAUUGAACGCUGGCGGCAUGCCUUACACAUGCAAGUCGAACGGCAGCACGGGCUUCGGCCUGGUGGCGAGUGGCGAACGGGUGAGUAAUACAUCGGAACAUGUCCUGUAGUGGGGGAUAGCCCGGCGAAAGCCGGAUUAAUACCGCAUACGAUCCACGGAUGAAAGCGGGGGACCUUCGGGCCUCGCGCUAUAGGGUUGGCCGAUGGCUGAUUAGCUAGUUGGUGGGGUAAAGGCCUACCAAGGCGACGAUCAGUAGCUGGUCUGAGAGGACGACCAGCCACACUGGGACUGAGACACGGCCCAGACUCCUACGGGAGGCAGCAGU